rnacentral:misc_RNA from 1 species
AUGAGUUGUGAUAGGGUUUGAUGCUGGCAGCCAAUUUUUGGAUGCAUGUGCUUGCCCUAACAAUCAUUUUCCAAACACCUGUGCACACUUUUGAGGGAGUUUCGAGCCGAUGGUGGUUUGCUUGAAUUCCCUUUAAAUCAUUAUACGCUGUUAAUAAUACUGAACGUGUUUUGUGCCGAAAGGCCAUUAAUAUUAAUA